rnacentral:lncRNA from 1 species
GUUUCAGGUGCUGAGAGGACUGUCUGACCAUAUGCAAACGUGACCGUAACCUUGAUGUUGACGUUGACCCCUUUGUCCUCUUCAGGUCUUUUUGCGGUCUGGGCUUGCUGUUAACAAACCUCAACCCAGGAAGCCCUUACCCCAAAAAGCAUCUGCAGUUGACCCCAGCAUCACAAACCAUUCUCUACAAUGUUAUCGAAUGCAAAGGCACAGUUCGUCUUGUCUUCUCUCCUUACUCGACCCCCCCUCUAUGCCACUCUGCUGUGGGGCGACCAGUCCAAGUCUCUCCAGGCACUCAUCGACUCGGUGGCCGAUGUGAGUCUCAUAGACAUUACCCUGGCGUUUGAGCUGGGCAUCCCCACUCAAGCCCUCUCCAUUCCCAUGGGUGUUAGAGCGCUGGACAGGCACUCUAUAGGCCAGGUAACCCACCAGACCACCCACAUCAGCCUACAAGUGUCAGGGAGGCUAUCCAAUUCCUCUCUGCAGGUCCCCGUGGUAUUGGGAUUCUCCUGGCUCCAGCGACACAAUCCCUCCAUUGACUGGGCUACUGGUGCCAUCGUGGGCUGGAGCUCGUCCUAACACUCAUUGCCUGAAGUCAGCUCUGCCUGCCCCGGGAUGUCUUCCAGGGGGCUUGCAAAUUGCCCAGGACCUUUUCGCCAGCUCCGCAGAGUACCAGGACCUCCGGGAGGGGUUCAGUAAGGCUCGGGCCACUUCGCUUCUGCAGCACCAACCGGUAUCCAAGAAGGUCAAGUCUGAGGCACUGGCAUGUCGCUAUAGGGCUGCGGCUACACCCCCGGAAGCCGAGACCUGUACCCCCCCGCUCCAAGAUCAUUAGCCCCUCUGCUGUUCGUCCUCUGUUGCCCUGUACCCUCCUUAUUUUUUCUACCUUUUCUGUCUAGAGUCAAAACCAUGUCUGACAGCCCCUUGUCUUCUGUUUCUAGGCCCAUCCCUCCCUCCCCCCCGUGUCAUCGAGGGCCAGCAAGCGUACACGGUGAGACGCCUCCUGAGGGUUCGACCACGGAGCAGGGGUUUCCAGUACCUGGUUGACUGGGAGGGUUAUGGCCCGGAGGAGAGGUGCUGGGUUCCCGCUAAAGACAUCUUGGACCCGGCCCUCAUCGCCGACUUUCACCGCCGCCAGCCCAGUCAACCAGGUAUCCUCCCAGGUGGAAUGCCAAGUGGCAUCCCUAGGGGGGGGGUACUGUCACACCCUGAUGUUUCACCUGUCCUUGUGCUUGUCUCCACCCCCCUCCAGGUGUCGCCCAUUUUCCCUAUUACCCUGUGUAUUUAUUCCUGUGUUCUCUGUCUGUUUGUUGCCUGUUCGUUCAAGCUUACCAGCCUCUCUUUCCUCGUCCUCCUGGUUUUUGACCUUUGCCUGUCCUGACCCUGUACCCACCCGCCUGACCUCUCUGCCUGCCGUCCUGUACCUUUGCUCCACCUCUGGAUUACUGAACUCUGCCUGACCCCGAGUCCGCCUGCCGUCCUGUACUUUUGCCUUACCCUGGAUUUUCGACCCCUGCCUGCCUUGACCUGUCUUUGCCUGCCCCUGUUGCUUCAAUAAACAUUGUCACUUCAAGUCUGCAUCUGGGUCUUACCUUGAUCCCUGAUAGAUGCAGAUAUCUCUAACUUAAACUGCCUUUUUUUAUAGGGAUUUUUUUUCUUUCAUUAUGCUAAUUAGAUUUGAACAGCUAACAUAUAGUGUUUGAUCACGUGCAACUUCAUCAACAAUUUUAAUUGUCUGAUGCUCAUUUUGAGACAUAAUUAUUUUUUUUCUUAAACUUGUUCUAAUGUUUGCAAGUAUGGUACCUGUGGCUCCAGUCCAGACAACCAGUUGCCCACUUCUGGACCUGAUCUGACCAAUAGCUGCCUAACACCUGUGCUAAGGUCUCAACUCUGUUCUAGUCCAGUAGAUGGCAGCAGAAUAUCUGUUUUUGAACGUUAAAUAAUUCUACGUUGGGAAACAGUCAUGGAUGUGACUGCAGAGUAACACCUAUGCAUACAAGCAUGUACAAACACAUCUUCCAUAACCCACUUACACAACCCCCGCAUCUAGUUCCUAGAACCUGUAUAAUGUUCUAUUGAAGUGGAGUGACCUCACAAGUUUAACUUUUAGUUGACAAGUCAGGAUCUGGAAGCCUAACAGUCUUGCAGAGCAACAAUAUGCUGUUGUGUCUUCUCCCUGGAAAUCUGUGGACCAGUUUGUCUUGAAAAGAGCCAUCAGUACAGCUUUGUCAAACCAAUGUGUGUGAGUGUGUGUAUCAUGGUUGCUGUAAGGAGAGGUAUAUAUUUCAUUUGAUUGAUUGGUGAGAUCACUGUCUGCAACCCUUCCCCCACCCAGUCAGCUGUUUUUGUAUUGUGCUGUACUCUGGAGUUUCAAUAAAACAAAAAAAA